rnacentral:rRNA from 1 species
CCUACGGGUGGCAACAGUGAGGAAUAUUGGUCAAUGGACGCAAGUCUGAACCAGCCAUGCCGCGUGUAGGAAGACGGCUCUAUGAGUUGUAAACUGCUUUUGUACGAGGGUAAACGCAGAUACGUGUCUCUUUCUGAAAGUAUCGUACGAAUAAGGAUCGGCUAACUCCGUGCCAGCAGCCGCGGUAAUUCGGAGGAUUCAAGCGUUAUCCGGAUUUAUUGGGUUUAAAGGGUGCGUAGGCGGUCGGAUAAGUUAGAGGUGAAAUCCCGAGGCUAAACUUCGGAAUUGCCUUUGAUACUGUUCGGCUAGAGAGUAGGUGCGGUAGGCGGAAUGUAUGGUGUAGCGGUGAAAUGCUUAGAGAUCAUACAGAACACCGAUUGCGAAGGCAGCUUACCAAGCUACUUCUGACGUUGAGGCACGAAAGCGUGGGGAGCAAACAGGAUUAGAUACCCUAGUAGUC